AGAGUUUGAUCCUGGCUCAGAACGAACGCUGGCGGCAGGCCUAACACAUGCAAGUCGAGCGCCCGCAAGGGAGCGGCAGACGGGUGAGUAACGCGUGGGAACGUGCCCUUUGGUUCGGAAUAUUCCCGGGAAACUGGGAGCAAAACCGGAUAAGCCCUUCGGGGGAAAGUUUACGCCAAAGGAUCGGCCCGCGUUAGAUUAGGUAGUUGGUGGGGUAACGGCCUACCAAGCCUACGAUCUAUAGCUGAUCUGAGAGGAUGAUCAGCCACACUGGGACUGAGACACGGCCCAGACUCCUACGGGAGGCAGCAGUGGGGAAUCUUGGACAAUGGGCGCAAGCCUGAUCCAGCCAUGCCGCGUGGAUGACUGAAGGCCCUAGGGUUGUAAAGUCCUUUCGACGGGGACGAUAAUGACGGUACCCGUAGAAGAAGCCCCGGCUAACUUCGUGCCAGCAGCCGCGGUAAUACGAAGGGGGCUAGCGUUGUUCGGAUUUACUGGGCGUAAAGGGCGCGUAGGCGGAUUCUUAAGUCGGGGGUGAAAUCCCGGAGCUCAACUCCGGAACUGCCUUCGAUACUGGAAGUCUGGAGCACGGUAGAGGUGAGUGGAAUUCCGAGUGUAGCGGUGAAAUGCGUAGA
rnacentral:rRNA from 1 species